UGUGCCAGCCGCUGCGGUUAUACCUGAUGAGAAUUAAAGAUUAUAGUGGUUUAUAGUUAUACGAUUAAAUUGUAUUAUAAUUUCUUUUAAGAAGGUUUGGAGGUGAAAUUUUGAGUUUUAGUUUAAUAGAGGUUUAAUAUAAUUUAAGUAGAGGCUAUUAAUAUUUAGGUGGAAACUAGGAUUAGAUACCCUAUUAUUCUAAAUGUAGAAAUUUUUACUACUUGAGUAGUAAGCAGAUAUGGUCUUGAAACUUAAAGAAUUUGGCGGCAUUUUAGUCUAGUUAGAGGAAUCUGUACUUUAAACGAUAAUCCGCGAAUUAUCUUACUUUAUUUUGUUUAUCAGUUUAUAUACCGCCAUUGUAAAAUAAUAUUUAAAAAUAUUUGUUGAAAUAGAUUAUAUUUAGUAUAUUAGGUCAAGGUGUAGCCAAUAAUAAAGUAGUUAUGGAUUACAAUAUUAUAAAGAUAUGACGGACAAACUUUUGAAAAAUGUUUUUAAGGUGGAUUUAAUAGUAAAUAUAUUUUAAUAUGUUAUAUUGAUAUCAGCUCUAAAAUGUGUACAUAUCGCCCGUCGCUCUCGUGUUAAAAUGAGAUAAGUCGUAACAAAGUAGGA
rnacentral:rRNA from 1 species